ensembl:lncRNA
CAAGAUACUUUCUUCUAAUCCUAUAGGUGAAAUAGAACCAGCUUAGGAAAAUUUGAGCGUGUGGGCUCAAGGUAAAGAAGCUGGCCAGAGAAAGAAGGAGAUCCCAGGGAUAGAUCCUGAGGAUGGAAACUGUGGUGGCCUUGAAAAGAAGCAACUGUGGAGGUUUGUCUGGAGGAUCCUGUGGACAGGGAGGAGAGACUCCAGAGACCUCCCUUGUCCCUUCUGCCAUUUGUAGACAUAGCAGGAAGAAGACUGUCUAUGAACAUCAGACACUGGAUCUUCCAGCACUUUGACAUUGAACUUCCUAGCCUCUAGAAAUAUAUACAACCCAGUAAUGCACAGUAGAUGUACACGUUCUCCUUUACAACGAAUGAAUGACCAGAGGCGUUAUUCCAUGUCAGGAGGUCAUUUCUCUGCUCAGACUUUUAAAGGUCAGAUUCCUUUCAAGACAGUUUCCAACACUUCUUGAUGAAGACCAAGUUGAAUCCUUUAUUCCCCACUCCCCGCCACCAGGAGACUUAGUAAGGAC